rnacentral:lncRNA from 1 species
GCGUAGCAAAUUCUGGAAGACUUCAAUUUUCUCGGUGGUGCUCUGAUCAGGUAGCAGAUUUACAAACAUCGAUUUGUCCAGAAUUGGUUGGAUUCUGACUCUUGGGGUUGGAUGUGGCCGGCUGAGUGCCUUGUCCGAUCCAUGUGGAGUUUCUCUUUAUCAGGACUCCACAUGGUAUUUCCUUUUAUCAAGACUCCGUGUGGAGUUCUAUAGAUUGAGUCUGGUUGUAGUUCUCCUUGUUUUUUUGGCAUGCAUAUGCCCGAUUUGGAAUUAGACGCACGUGAGGUUUUGUAUAUGUGACGGUGGUGCUCUAGUAUGUGAUUACGUCUGGACGUGUCACACAAAAUAGAAUAUAUAUUGCCGUGUGAUCUUGUGUAGUUUAUCUUAGGCGUACGUUGUCCAGACUAUUCUCUUUUUCCGUGUGGACGAUUCCUGCUUGCACUCAUUAAUUACAUGUAGAUGAUUGACUCUUUCCGUACAUGUACAAUAUAUGCAUAUGCAUAGACGUGACAACGUGCUAGUUCAAUAAGUUAGUAAAUACAUGUUAGCAUGUUACGUAAAAACUUUUAAUCUCAGCCAUUAUUAUUUGAAUCUAACGGUGCAAAUAAUAUUAACAUAUGUGGAUAAAUGUGGUAGCUUAUUUGUCUUCUAUUUUAAGUAUAUAAUAGAAGAUUAUUCACGUCCGUUUGCCUAUCUUGAGGCGCCGUACCCGAAAGGGAUUGACAACCCCUUUUACGUGUCGGGUUGCGGGAAUUUUUCAUUUGUGUGCAGGUGCUUUUUACGUUGUGUUGCUUGGUUCUUCUACUGGUUCGAUAAUCUUGGUUUCACAUCUGAGGAAAAUACGUACCGCCGCUGUGUUGCGUCAUCCCUUCCUCUUUGGGUAAAUACCGACGUAGCUUCAAGCCGCAUCAACGUCCCAUCAAUUCUGAUGAUUGGAUGUGCUGGAUGUAAUGCUUUAUUUUCCCGUGCAACUAUUUCAGAUUGUGUACCACAUACUUCUAGGUAUCUUAAAUGAAUAGCAUGUUAUAAUUCGUAAGAGUUGUAUAGAAACUUCUACAGUCAAUGUCUGGUAAGUUACUCAUAGUACUGACUAUACCUUAUAUGAUGCACCAAUGAUGGUCAAUAGUAACUUUUAGAGAGCAGACAUGUCGAAGUUGAUCUCGAUGGUUAGCACAUCAAAUUGUUGUCUCAAAUCUCAACGUCCAUAAAAGAUGCAGAAAAUCUCCAACAAAAAGAAAAUACACAACUCUUUCGGUAGAUAUGGUUACUUGAGUAUCCUUGCCAAACAGCGUUGUAUUCUCAAUUGCAGGUCCUCAAAAUGUGGCAACUCGAUAUCAAAUUCAGCCAAAUGAGCUCCAUUUGCAAUAGUUUGUGUGGAACAAAAGAAUAUACUAUCUGUCUUAUGAUGAUAACGUAUGUACAACAACCAUUAUUACAAAAAUAUAGCGCCCAUACACAGUCCAUAUUAUAAAGGUUAUCUCUAAAUUGCAGCCACAAAUUACUUGUAGUUCCACUUUUCAUAAAAAACAUACUUUUAAAAUAUCAUAAUUUAUUCCUUUGAACAGAUCUUUCAAUAAAAAGCAAGCAUCAUACACAUAACGAAAAUACUGCCUUAUAACAAAAUGAACAAGCUAAAGUGAAUGCAAGCAUGCUUUCAGUGUUUAGUCUAUAACAGGCGGGUAAGGUUCCUCCUUGUUCAAAUGUUGUUCAUCAUCCCCUGUUAAAUAAGAAACAUCACCUCCAUGUAAGAUCAUGCUGAUUGACUCAAGGGAACAGAGAGCAAAAAUACAUUCCUGAAUCGGAUUCUGUUGAUGUGAGCGGUGGUUUAUGAUAUCCCUUGCCACAUUCUCACCAAUCUGCAAACACAUCAGGACACCCAAAAAAUUGCCCCGUUACGAAAUUUGCAGCAGGGGAAUCCUGACGGGAUAAGAAAAACUCGACCGGAGUGUCCCAUGCUGGAACAAAUGGAUGACAGGGGAGCCCAAAAUUACCUUGAGGCCUAAUGGGAUGUACUUCAUGGUGACAGCCUCCUUGGUCUCCUUGUUCCGCAUCAGCAGCGUGACAUCGAAGUUGCUAGUCACGAUAUGCUUGAGUAGCUCGUACCUCUCCAUGGAUCCCGGCCUGCGCGGAGCGACAACUACUGCUGAAGGCACCAGCGCUCCUCUCCUUGUGUUGUCGCAGUGCCUGCACCUUAGCCUCGCAGAUCAACGCCUCCAGGUCCGUUCUCGCGAGAUCCCGUGGACUCGUCGGUAAGAUGAUGUCGGCAUGGCGGCUGGCAGUGACAUUGAGGACGCUAACCCUAGUGCGUCGAAGGAUCAGGGUCGGGAGGUGCGUGCCAAAAGCGAGCGUGACCCUUACGUCUGCGGCGGCAAUCCAAACCGUUGGCGGCAGCGAGAUCGCAUGAGAUCCGGCGGCGUCUUCUCUGUGAAGUCGGCGGCGACGAUUUUGUGCGUCUGUGUCAGGAAGAUUGCACGACAUCGGCUGUGUUUACUCGAGGGGAUCGAGAGGAGCGGCGUUUCGUGCAGGGUAGGUUUUUUUUUGGUGCGUGUGUGGGGUAGGGAAGAGGACGAAAAAAACCAGUCGAAAAAACCAGAUGGAAGUGGCGGACGAAAAAAAACCAUGGAGGCAAUCCUACGUGCGGGAGGAGGUUUGCAACACCACUGAAGGUUAAGGCAAUGUGAAGCUUGAACAACGAAGUAAUAUAUUUAGAUAUUAGUAGUUCAAGUUUGCUAGAAAAAUCAUACGUCGGUAGAGAAAAACCAUAAGACCUUAUUAUGAUAAUUGUUGUAAUUGUACGACAUGGCUCUCAAGUGUUUGCAAUUAUAAAUCCUAAGGAGGGCAUUAAAAAUGAUAAAAAUACCUCAAGGAGACCGUACAGAAUAUAUUUUUCUGUAUUCCUUCUCCAACAACUGAUUUAUUUCUUCUGUCAAACAUUCAUAUUUCCCUGAUUCAAUUGGAGCAUUCUCAAUAGUAGCACUUCCUCCAAGAUUAUACACAGAGAUGUCCCAUCAAUUCUGAUGAUUGGAUGUGCUGGAUGUAAUGCUUUAUUUCCCCCUGCAACUAUUCCAGAUUGUGUACCACACUACUAGAAAAAGGGCUAUAGAUGAUAUGGCCACUAAUAACGCACCAGACAUGUCGUGCGCCAUUAGUAUAUACUAAUGGCGCACCAUGUGUAGGUGCGCCAUUAGUAACAAUUUUUUUUUUCAAAACUAGUAAUGGCGCACCAGUGGAUAGUGCGCCGUAAUGGUGCACCACAUUCACAGUGCGCCACUAGUAUUUUUUUUUUCAAAUAUUUUUUUCAUUUUUUUAUUAUUUAUUUUUUUAAAACUAGUAAUGGCGCACUGUCAACAGGUGCGCCAUUACUAAGUUUUUUUUCAAAAAAAUAUUCAGAAUUUGUUUUAUUUUUUUCAAAACUAGUAACGGCGCACCGUGGGUGUGGUGCGCCAUUACUAGUUUAACUAGUAAUGGCGCACCACUCCCACGGUGAGCCAUUACUAACUUGGCCCAAAAUUUCCACCGAAUGCACCCCCCCUGGACCGCCUUUUCAGUUAAAAAAAUAAAAAAAUUGAUGGAAAUGUCAAAAAAAUAAAAGAAAAUAAGUUUCCCAUGUGAUAUGUGGUUUAGUUGUUGGGAAAAUUUCCAAAUAUGAAUUUCGACUUUAUUUGCAAAAUCUCUCUAGAAUUUGUAAAAUGGGCAUAACUUUUGCAUACGAACUCGGAUUAAAAGGUUUUCUAUAUGAAAAAUUAUCUACUCGAAAAGUUACAUCCAAAUUUAACCGGGGGAACCCCGUUAAACAUUUUCAAAAUCCCCAAAAACCUAACAGAAAAAAGUUACGGGGCUUUUAAGAUCCGGAGGCAAAAAAAUUCAGAAAAUUUCAAACUUACUAGUGGCGCACCGUAUGCUAGGUGCGCCACUAGUAACAGAAAAAAAAUUGGUUUCGAAAAAUAAUUUGAAUUAUUUUUCAAAAUAUGAUACGUAAUAUGACCGGGAAGUUUGAAAUAUUUUUUCAAAAUUUCAUCAUACUCAUGAACUAAGUCCUAGACAUCAGCAAUGUUUAAUAGGAUUGAGAUGAUGGAUAUAUCAACAAGUGCCUGUGAAGUGAGGUGGUGCUGGGGUUGGAUAGAACUACGAAGUUAAGCGUGCUCGGGCCGGAGUAGUGUGAGGAUGGAUGACCUUCCGGGAAGUUUGACCAUAGAGUGUGAUUUGACCCGAGAUUAAGCCAUAGUGACCCGAAAUUAAGAAAAAAUUGAAAAAAAUAAAAAAAAUUGAAAAAAAUUGCUACUAAUGGCGCACUCCUGCGUGGUGCGCCAUUAGUAUACCAGAUACUAAUGGCGCACCGUGGGCUAUACUAAUGGCGCACCUGUGGUGUGCCAUUAGUAGCGAAAACAAGUGCGCCACUAGCAGCUCUUUUUCUAGUAGUGCCACAUACUUCUAGGUAUCCUAAAUGAAUAACAUGGUUAGAAUUCACAAGAGUUGUAUAGAAACUUCUACAGUCAAUGUGUAGUAAGUUACUCAUAGUACUAACUAUACCUUAUAGGAUGCACCAAUGAUGGUCAACAAUAACUUUUAGAGAGCAGACAUGUCGAAGUUGAUCUUGAUAGUUAGCACAUCGAAUUGAUGUCUCAAAUCUUAACGUCUAUAAAAGAUGCAAAAAACUCCAACAAAAGGAAAAUACAUCACUCUUUCAGUAGAUAUGAUUACUCUAGUAUCCUUGCCAAAAAGUGUUGUAUUCUUCAAUUGCAGGUCCUCAAAAUGUUUCAACUCGGUAGCAAAUUCAUCCAAAUGAGCUCCAUCCGCAAUAGUUUGUGAGGAACAAAAGAAUAUACUAUCUCUCUUAUGAUGAUAACAUAUGUACAACAACCGUUAUUACAAAAAUACAUCGGCCAUAAACAGUCCAUAUUAUAAAGGUUAUCACUAAAUUGCAGCCACAAAUUACUUGUAGUUCCACUUUUCAUAAAAAAACAUACUUUCAAAAUAUCAGAAUUUAUUCCUUUGCACAGAUCUUUCAACAAAGGGACAAUUGCAUUUUCCCCCUAGUUGGUUCCUACCCACGGGUUUUGCCCUUACUUUUCGAGCUUGCUCAGUUUUGCCCUUACCUUUUCCGUCGAGGUCCCUCGAAUGCCCUUUGACCGUUUGACCAAAACUUUGAAAAUUCAUAACUAAUUCAUAUGAACUCAGAAAAAUACAAAUAAGAUAUCAAAAUGUUCAGAUAAACAUUACCUUUAUGUGCAUAUCAUUUGCAUUCAGGACAAAAGCACCCUUUAAACUACCUAAGGUAAUUAAUGUUAUUAACAUUAUUAAAAAUAAAAGGUAUAAACAAUAUUUUUUUUCAUGAAUAAAAAUUACAUGCAAAUGUAGGUGAUGUUUCCUGAACAUCCUGAUAUCUUAUUUGCAUUUUUCUGAGUUCGUAUAAAUUUUUUAUGAAGUUUCGAAAUAAUGGUCAAAGUCGUUAGAACAUUCAUAACAAGAUGAUACGGACUCAGGAAAAUGCAAAUAAGAUAUCUGGAUGUUCAGUAAACAUCACCUACAUUUGCAUGUAAUUUUUAUUCAUGAAAAAAAAUUGUUUAUACCUUUUUAUUUUUAAUAAUGUUAAUAACAUUAAUUACCUCAGGUAGUUUAAAGGGUGCUUUUGUCCUGAAUGCAAAUGAUAUGCACAUAAAGGUAAUGUUUAUCUGAACAUUUUGAUAUCGUAUUUGCAUUUUUCUAAGUUCAUAUGAAUUGGUUAUGAAUUUUCAAAGUUUUGGUCAAACAAUUAAAGGGCAUUAGAGGGACCUCGACUGAAAAAGUAAGGGCAAAACCCGUGGGUAGGAACCAACUAGGGGUAAAAAUGCAAUUGUCCCUUCAAUAAAAAGCAAGCAUCAUACACAUAACGAAAGCACUGCCUUGUAACAAAAUGAACAAGCUAAAGUGAAUGCAAGCAUGCUUUCAGUGCUUAGUCUAUAACAUGCGGGUAAGGUUCCUCCUUGUUCCCAUGUUGUUCAUCAUCCCCUGUUAAAGAAGAAACAUCAUCUCCAUGUAAAAUCAUGCUGAUUGACUCAUGGGAACAGAGAGCAAAAACACAUUCUUGAAACGGAUUAUGUUGAUGUGCCGCGCGAGCGGUGGUUUAUGAUCUCCCUCGCCACAUUCUCACCAAUCCGCAAACACAUCAGGACACCUGAAAAAGUUCCCCGUUGCUAAAUUUGCAACAGGGGAAUCCUGACGGGAUAAGAAAAACUCGACCGGAGUGUCCCAUGCUGGAACAAAUGGAUGACAGGGGAGCCCGAAAUUACCUUGAGGCCCAAUGGGAUGUACUUCAUGGCACAACCUCCUUGGUCUCCUUGUUCCACAUCAGUAGCGUGACGUCGAAGUUGCCAGUGGCGGUAUCCUUGAGUAGCUCAUACCUCUCCAUGGAUCCCGGCCAGCACCGAGCGACAAUUGAUGCUGAAGGCACCAGUGCUCAUCUCCUUGCGUUGUCGCAAUGCCUGCACCUUGGCCUCGCAGAUCAACGCCUCCAGGUCCGCGCUCGUGGGAUCUCGUGGACUCGUCGGUAAGAUGAUGUCGGCAUGGUGGCUGGCAGCGGUUGGUGGCGGCGCGGAGGACACUAACCCUAGUGUGUCGUGGGAUGAAGGUCAGGAGGUGCGUGCCAAAAGCGAGUGUGACCCUUACGUCUGUGGCGCCAAUCCCAUACUGUGGCAAUGAUCCCGUACAUCGGUGGCAGCUAGAUCGCACGAGAUCCGACAGCAUCUUCUCUAUGAGGUUCAUGGCGGCGAUUUCAUGUGUCUGUGUUAGGAAGAUCGCACGACGACGACUAUGUUUACUCGAGGGGAUCGAGAGGAGCGGCNNNNNNNNNNNNNNNNNNNNNNNNNNNNNNNNNNNNNNNNNNNNNNNNNNNNNNNNNNNNNNNNNNNNNNNNNNNNNNNNNNNNNNNNNNNNNNNNNNNNNNNNNNNNNNNNNNNNNNNNNNNNNNNNNNNNNNNNNNNNNNNNNNNNNNNNNNNNNNNNNNNNNNNNNNNNNNNNNNNNNNNNNNNNNNNNNNNNNNNNNNNNNNNNNNNNNNNNNNNNNNNNNNNNNNNNNNNNNNNNNNNNNNNNNNNNNNNNNNNNNNNNNNNNNNNNNNNNNNNNNNNNNNNNNNNNNNNNNNNNNNNNNNNNNNNNNNNNNNNNNNNNNNNNNNNNNNNNNNNNNNNNNNNNNNNNNNNNNNNNNNNNNNNNNNNNNNNNNNNNNNNNNNNNNNNNNNNNNNNNNNNNNNNNNNNNNNNNNNNNNNNNNNNNNNNNNNNNGUGGGGGUCGGGGGAGGGGGCGGAAAAACUAGUCGAAAAACCGGACGAAUAUGACGGGCGAAAAAAACCCGCGGAGGCAAUCCUACCAACUGAGACAUUAGAAGUAGAGAUAGAUAUGACAUAACCAUUGGGGGAGGGGGGAGGGGGCAUGACCCUUGCUUGUCUCUCCUUAGCUCCGCCCUUGAGUGGUGCUAUUUUACAAGACUUGAAGGGAGGUUUUGUUGUUGCGGCCAUGGAAUAUAAACCGAAUGGAAUGGACGGUCCGACGAUGGAGGAGUUUGCGCUAUUGUCGGGACUACGACUUGUUGAUAAGAUGGACAUUUUUUCUUUGUCCACUCUUAGUGAUUCUAUGGCGAUUGUUCAAGCUAUCCAAAAUUUGGACGACUAUCGGGCGUCGGGUGCGGUAAUUACUGAUGUUUGUCGAAGGUUGAUGAGUUCUUUCGGCAAGGCGAGGAUAAAUCAUUGUGUGUGUGAUGUAAACGAGUGUGCUCAUACUAUUGCUUGUUUUAGUUUCUUGGGUUAGGAGUCAAGGGUGUGGCAUGAUAAACCUCUUGCUUUCCUGAUUCUGCUGAUUGUAAAGGAUAUGAUUAUUAAUUAAAUAAAGUCGCCGAAGUUAAAAAAAGGUAAUAUCAGCCGGAGUCAUAGAACUUGUGUCGUAUGUUUAAUUUGGUGCUAGAAUUUUUAAAAAUACGGUUUUGUGGCCAUCUAACUUGACUCAGACGUGUAGAUACGGUCAUAGUACAUGUAUCUGAGUGUAUCCAUGUGUAUGGACCCACCUGUCGGUGAGUGAUAGAGCUGGGCAUGGCAUAUUUUUUACAAAAAUACUCUUAUAUUUUUUUUAUUUAUGGAAAAGUCAACUACUGCAAGACAUUUAUACGAAACUUAAGAAAAAAACCCAGUAUACCCUAGGACUCGAACAAACGACCGUAUCUUUUAAUACAAAAUGCUCUAGCCUUUUCACCACCAGUUCAGUAUGUCUAAUCUCCAUAACGAACUCCUAUGUACUCAAAAGUGAUGCAUGUGGAGCUUAAAUGUACUGUGUAUAUUUCUGUCCACGCGCUACUUCUUUAAGAUAUUUGUAAAACAUGUGUGUUAUAUAAAUGUGUUUGUUACAUAUUUUUCACAUGUUUUUAUAUAAAUUUCUUUACCUCCAAAAAUAUUUUUUUGGCUAAUAAUUUUAAGAUAAUUUUUACUAAAUAUUUUAUAAACCUGAGUAUUAUAUAAACCAGUGUGUUAUAUAAAUUUGUGUAUUACAUAUUUUGUUUGCAUAAUUAUAAUUUUAAAAAUAUUAUUUAAAUUAUACAAACAUUUCAAUAAGUAUACACACAUUUGUGUAGUUCGAUUUUUGCAUGAUUAAAAAUAUUCAUAAUUUUAAAUUUAAACUAUUAAUAUGGACAUUCAAUCAUGGCUAAUAUUUUUUAAUAUAAGUCAUGAAUAAAAAUUAUGCACAAGUAAAUAUUCAUAUAUAUUUAGUAAAUGGUUGUAUUCGUCAUUCUGUAUAGUUUAAAUAUAAGCUACACGUUUUUCUUUUUUGGAUCUAUUAAACAUAUUUAUCUAGUAAACAUUUUCAAUGUCUGUAUCAACUAAAUAUAUUUUAUAUAAUACACAAGUUUAUAUUUAAAUGUUUUAUUUAUUAAUCAUGGUUUGUAUGUAUAGUAUUUUAACACGUAAAUAUUUGAACUUAAUUUUAUUACUUACGGUUUACAAAUAUCUUAAAUGUAUUUAUUACUUACAUUUUACCGAAUAUUUCAUAUAUAAUACACAUGUUUAUAUUUACUAAUCAUCAUCUGUAUGUAUAUAUAUUUAACACAUAAAUAAUUGAUCAUAAAUUUAUUACCUUUUUAACAAAUAUCUUAAAAAAUAGCGCGUGCAUAUGGGCCACAGAUAUGCAGCCCAUUUAAGCUCCGCAUGUGUUGGCUUCCAAUCAACAAAAAAAGUUUGGUUGGGCCAACCCCACGACCAAACAUGUAUCCCACAUUUGGUGGAUUUUGAUGAAUAAAGCUUGGUUCUACCCCUAAAGAAACAAAAUAAAAAGUUUGUACCCCCAAAAAAAGUUUGUUACCUUCCUCAGAAAUAAUAUGUAAGUUAGUUAUCUGUGUUAUACUAUAGACUAACCUGGAGGUUGUAUUGGCUUGAGUGUAUCGUGUUAAACCUGCUGUAUGCAGGUUUGAGUCCCAGCGACCCUAUUUUUUAUUGUCAAUUUUCACAUAUAAUGGCAGUACUGUUAUCGGAUUUUUCUGUAAAUAAGAAAUGUGAAGGAAUUUUGUGUAAAUAUGUGUCGUGGUGGUUGACUUUUUCCGCAACUAAAAAAAUCUGAGUGUGUUUUUGUAAAACUAUUCGUGUCUACUACUACCACUCACUGAUAAGUGGUGCCAUACACAUGGAUACGCGACAUAUGUGUACUGUGACCUUAUAUCCAUGCUUGAGUCAAGUUAGAUGACCAUAAAACAGUAUUUUUAUAAAGUUUAAGCACCAAACUAAACAUGUGAUGUAAGUCUUGUGGCUCCGGGAGAUAUUAUAUUACCUAAAAAAAGCCACUCAAGUAUUUCACAUUGUUCGGUGCCAUUCCGUCCGACUAUCCAAUUCCUGGACGUUGCAUGCAAGGCUAGCGUGCGAAGUAAAAAAAAAAAA